CAGUAGCCGCGGGAAAACGGAGGGUGCAAGCGUUAAUCGGAAUUACUGGGCGUAAAGCGCACGCAGGCGGUUUGUUAAGUCAGAUGUGAAAUCCCCGGGCUCAACCUGGGAACUGCAUUUGAAACUGGCAAGCUAGAGUCUCGUAGAGGGGGGUAGAAUUCCAGGUGUAGCGGUGAAAUGCGUAGAGAUCUGGAGGAAUACCGGUGGCGAAGGCGGCCCCCUGGACGAAGACUGACGCUCAGGUGCGAAAGCGUGGGGAGCAAACAGGAUUAGAUACCCCAGUAGUCCCUGUCUCUUAUAU
rnacentral:rRNA from 1 species